GCGCCGCAGAGGGGUGGGGCUGAGGGCGGAGCGCUCAUUAGGAGGCGGAGGCGCUUGGCGCGCGGACUGGAGAGGGGACUCCGCGCUGGCCCUGCUGCCUGGGGCGCCCCCGCCUUCCCCGCCAGGACCCGCGUGAAUCCGAGAGGAGCGUCGAUCUCUGCGGAGAGAAGCCGGGAGGCUGCCCCGGAGGAGGCUCGUGCAGCUGCCGUUCGCGGGUCCGGUCCUGGGGAUUUUAAACACUCAAGGAUACAUCUAAAACAACAUGAUGCCCCCAGAAAGCAGAAGAUCCUUUCAGAUUCAAAUGUACUGUGAUUCAAGCUUACCAUAUAUGGCCAUUAGACAAUAAAAUGGCUAAUGUUUUAAUUGAAA